GUUCGCCAUUUAAAGUGGUACGCGAGCUGGGUUUAGAACGUCGUGAGACAGUUCGGUCCCUAUCUGCCGUGGGCGCUGGAGAACUGAGGGGGGCUGCUCCUAGUACGAGAGGACCGGAGUGGACGCAUCACUGGUGUUCGGGUUGUCAUGCCAAUGGCACUGCCCGGUAGCUAAAUGCGGAAGAGAUAAGUGCUGAAAGCAUCUAAGCACGAAACUUGCCCCGAGAUGAGUUCUCCCUGACUCCUUGAGAGUCCUGAAGGAACGUUGAAGACGACGACGUUGAUAGGCCGGGUGUGUAAGCGCAGCGAUGCGUUGAGCUAACCGGUACUAAUGAACCGUGAGGCUUAACCUUACAACGCCGAAG
rnacentral:rRNA from 1 species